AAUCAACGCUGGCGGCGUGCCUAACACAUGCAAGUCGCACGAGAAAGGGACUUCGGUCCUGAGUACAGUGGCGCACGGGUGAGUAACACGUGAAUCAUCUACCUCCGAGUGGGGAAUAACCUAGAGAAAUCUGGGCUAAUACCGCAUAACACUUACGAGUCAAAGCAGCAAUGCGCUUGGAGAGGAGUUCGCGGCAGAUUAGUUAGUUGGCGGGGUAAUGGCCCACCAAGACGAUGAUCUGUAUCCGGCCUGAGAGGGCGCACGGACACACUGGAACUGAAACACGGUCCAGACUCCUACGGGAGGCAGCAGUGGGGAAUUUUGCGCAAUGGGGGAAACCCUGACGCAGCAACGCCGCGUGGAGGAUGAAAUAUCUUGGUAUGUAAACUCCUUUCGAUGGGGAAGAUAAUGACGGUACCCAUAGAAGAAGCCCCGGCUAACUUCGUGCCAGCAGCCGCGGUAAUACGAGGGGGGCAAGCGUUGUUCGGAAUUAUUGGGCGUAAAGGGUGCGUAGGCGGUUUGACAAGUCUUAUGUGAAAUCUAUGGGCUCAACCCAUAGUCUGCAUGGGAAACUGUCG
rnacentral:rRNA from 1 species